UGUGUAUAUGUAGUAAGUCGCUCUGGAUAAGAGCGUCUGCUAAGUGACUUAAA
rfam:Salmo salar isolate Sally breed double haploid chromosome ssa01, whole genome shotgun sequence.